rnacentral:rRNA from 1 species
AUACGGAGGAUGCGAGCGUUAUCCGGAUUCAUUGGGUUUAAAGGGUGCGUAGGCGGAUUUUUAAGUCAGUGGUGAAAGCCUGAGGCUCAACCGUGGAAUUGCCGUUGAAACUGGACGUCUUGAGUGUAUUUAAUGUGGGCGGAAUGCGUGGUGUAGCGGUGAAAUGCUUAGAUGUCACAAAGAACACCGAUUGCGAAGGCAGCUUACCGGGCUAGUACUGACGCUGAUGCUCGAAAGCGUGGGGAUCAAACAGGAUUAGAUACCCUGGUAGUCCACGCAGUAAACGAUGUAUACUCGCUGUUUGCGAUAUACAGUAAGCGGCCAAGCGAAAGCAUUAAGUGAACCACCUGGGGAGUACGCCGGCAACGGUGA